AAUUUUUUACCCAUUUCCCUCUUAACCUGAGACUUCCCUAACCCGAUUCUAACCCUUUUCCUUCUCAUUAUUUUACCUUUUUACCCAUAUCCCCGACCCAAUUCCCCCUUUCACUAAAACAAUAUUAACCAAAAAGGAUUUGGUCUUUACUUUAAAAAACAAAAACUCAACAAUUCAAAACCCUCCUCCCUCUGAGUCGUCUCUCUCCUUGCUCAAUUGCUAACAACACACGCUUCACUUUUUUCCCAGGUUUAGGUACGAACGGCUCGUGAGAAGCAAGGUAAGUCGAAGGCUAUUGCACAACCUUCCACUGUUACCUAUCAAUCUAAGAAACAUAUGCAAAGUGAGGCUAUGUUAAGCAAGAAAACCAAGGGUAAGCAAGUGUCUGAGAGUUCCGCGAGACCACACAAGAGGCCCCGCCCGGCUAUUGAGUUUGAUAGUGACAACGCCGGGGCGUGGUACCAUUUGAGCCAUAUGGCUGGUACAUCUCUGAGCACUGUAUCAAUGAAGAUACUCUGAAGAAGAACUAUCCGGAGGUCUUGGCACAGAUAAAGGCACUGAAGCUUGACCGCUUAUUGAAGUCACCUGAGCAUGCCAAUCUGAGCAUGGUUUGGGAGUUGUAUGCAAACUACAACCACAAUCAUGAUCAUGCUGAUGUGUGACGGCAGAGAAUGAGCCUCUCUAGAGAGGAUCUAUACAAUUACUUGGGGGUCGACAAUCUUGACCCGAGGAUUCUACAGAAUUUCAUUUGUAGUCCUAUCUACACUACCAUCUGUCACACAUUAUUUGGUGUAGAUUCCAAUGCCAAGUGGACCUGAAUAAAAAGAAAAGAAGCAUUUAGAGCUGUAUAGAGCAUAGUUCCUCGUGACAACCAAGUUAAGCUAUCGAUAUUGGAGCACUCAAUUUAUACGAAAUGGAUCACACCCGAUUUGGGAACAAGGUAAAAAGGUUGUUCUUUGGGAACCUGUUGAUGAAGUACAUGUUGUCCCCCAAGGUGCCUGAGUAUUCGGAUAGUGAUGCUAUCGAGGCUGCUCAGAAGGGUCUCUUGGACAUCACAGCUCUGUUGUACACCACAAAGAAGAUGAGCAAUGCUGCUAAGGCUGAAAAGGAUGAGAACUUCAACCGCCACAUCUAUGGAACGUUGAACUUGAUUAUAUGGCGACUAGGAAUGACAGAUGAUGAGAAGUUGUAGUUCACACUGAAUAUCCUCUAUUAGGAGCCAUGAAAGAGAUGUUGGAACUUACACCUAGCAAUCCAAUUCACCCGUCUAAGGAUGAGAACACGGUUCCAAGCUCUCCUAAGAGAGGUGAUGAUGGUGAAGAGGUCGAGGGACCGCUGGAAUUGGAAAGAGUUGUUGAGGUUGAUGAUAAUGGAGACGAUACAAAGACAAAUCUUGCCAGAGCUUCAGGCGGCGCGCAGUCCGAUGAAGAGACAUUAGAGUACGACCCAAAGGGGUCAGAGUAGUAAAGAGUCCCUUUUCCACCCUAGUUGUUUACGUUUUGUAAGUGCAUUGAGGACAAUGCACUGACCAAGUGUGGGAUAGGGGAAACUUCCUGUGUCUAUUUUGGGAUAAUUAUAUCGGCAUUAUAAGUUUCUUUUGUUUGGUCA